rnacentral:rRNA from 1 species
AUUGAACGCUGGCGGCAGGCUUAACACAGGCAAGUCGAGCGGAGAUGAGGUGCUUGCACCUUAUCUUAGCGGCGGACGGGUGAGUAAUGCUUAGGAAUCUGCCUAUUAGUGGGGGACAACAUUCCGAAAGGAAUGCUAAUACCGCAUACGCCCUACGGGGGAAAGCAGGGGAUCUUCGGACCUUGCGCUAAUAGAUGAGCCUAAGUCGGAUUAGCUAGUUGGUGGGGUAAAGGCCUACCAAGGCGACGAUCUGUAGCGGGUCAGAGAGGAUGAUCCGCCACACUGGGACUGAGACACGGCCCAGACUCCUACGGGAGGCAGCAGUGGGGAAUAUUGGACAAUGGGCGGAAGCCUGAUCCAGCCAUGCCGCGUGUGUGAAGAAGGCCUUUUGGUUGUAAAGCACUUUAAGCGAGGAGGAGGCUACCUGGAUUAAUACUCUAGGAUAGUGGACGUUACUCGCAGAAUAAGCACCGGCUAACUCUGUGCCAGCCGCCGCUGUAACAC